rnacentral:lncRNA from 1 species
CUUUUACCUUAUUUUUACCCUACCCUCAACUACUAUAUAUACUAUCUUCUCUACUCACUUCAAACACGAACAUAAUUCAUUUUUCUCAACUCUCUCUUAUACAAAAAUAUAUUCAGUGUUCUCUCUUGUCCCUGCCCAACCUCUCUCAUUUCCCUUGUGACUACUAGUUACUCAAUUGGUUUAAAACCCAGGCUGAAUUAGGCUACUUUUCUGUUCUACAACUGCCUACUGUUGCUCACUUCUUUGACUACUCUUCUGCUCACCUCUAUGCAUACUCUCUGCAUAUUGCUACUCACUUCUCUUCACAACUAUCGCUGCUCACUUCUCUACACACUAUUGCUCACUCAUCUGCAUAUUAUUGCUCCAUGCUGCUCUGCAUUACCUUACCUUCAACUGGUGUCUCCUAUUUUAUUUACAACUUCAAAGAAGCAUGUUUUUAUCUGUAUUGCACUUUCUCUUAUUUCUUGUAUGCUUCUACUUAUGGUUCUAUUGUUCUUACUGCAACAACGAUGCCUCUAUGUUAACCUAUCUUAAUCUAGCAUGCCCAUUACUCUCUUUAUUUGUCUCAUGCAUAUUUCUCCUUAUCCCCUAACCCCAGUACAAUUAUCAGCAUGUAGUUCUGAUCUCUUUGGUUGAAACCUGGCAGAUUGUUUAAGUUCUAAAGUGCUUCUCUUUAAUCUCUGUGUAUGUGUAAUUGUGUUCUCACAUAGAAGUUACUUGUCCCCAUACCCCUUUCCCAUGUUUGUGCAUGUAUUCCCUGAACCUGAUAUUGUCUCUUCAAUUGUUUUCUUUCAAACCGGUACCCUGUGAAUCAUCUUUAACUUUUUUUUUAAAAAAAAAACUCAAUUGCUUUAAAGCUUUAGCAUACUUUUUUGUGGUUUUCUUUCAAGGCUGGUUCUCUAUGGACCUUCUUUCAAUUGUAUUUUUUCAACUCAAAACUCUAUCACAAU